rnacentral:rRNA from 1 species
AACGAACGCUGGCGGCAUGCCUAACACAUGCAAGUCGAACGAGACCUUCGGGUCUAGUGGCGCACGGGUGCGUAACGCGUGGGAACCUGCCCUUAGGUUCGGAAUAACUCCCCGAAAGGGGUGCUAAUACCGGAUAAUGUCUUCGGACCAAAGAUUUAUCGCCUUUGGAUGGGCCCGCGUUGGAUUAGCUGGUUGGUAGGGUAAAAGCCUACCAAGGCGACGAUCCAUAGCUGGUCUGAGAGGAUGCUCAGCCACACUGGGACUGAGACACGGCCCAGACUCCUACGGGAGGCAGCAGUGGGGAAUAUUGGACAAUGGGCGAAAGCCUGAUCCAGCAAUGCCGCGUGAGUGAUGAAGGCCUUAGGGUUGUAAAGCUCUUUUAGCCGGGAUGAUAAUGACAGUACCGGGAGAAUAAGCUCCGGCUAACUCCGUG